UUCUACUAUGGGACUUGACCUGAUCAUAGUGACCUUGAAAGACCCCCAAAGUGGGGAGACCCUCACUCAAGUCUCAGGAUGACGCGACCCCCCAAGAACUCACAAGAGACC
rnacentral:pre_miRNA from 14 species